rnacentral:rRNA from 1 species
AUGGUGAAGAUGGGAUCAUCUCCGGACCAAGUGACCUGUGUCACCGUCAUUUCCACUCUUGCGAGCUUGGGUAGGCUGGAUGAUGCUAGGACUUUGCUGAAGAGUAUGGCGGUGCCGAGCACGGUUGCUUGGAACGCUGUCAUCUCCAGUUAUGCGCAACAGAGUGGGAUGGACCAUGAGGUCUUUGGAUUUUAUAAGGAUAUGAAGAGGCAGGGAUUAUGGCCCAGUAGAUCGACCUUCGCCAGCAUGCUAAGCGUAGCAGCUAAUAUGGCGGCGCUUGUUGAAGGCCGACAGUUUCAUGCUUCGGCGGUAAGGCAUGGCUUGGAUGCAAAUGUUUUCGUGGGUAGCUCUCUGAUCAACCUUUAUGCGAAAUGCGGCUGCAUUGGUGAGGCAAGGGACGUGUUUGAUUUCUCCCGUGAGAAGAACAUUGUCAUGUGGAAUGCGAUGCUCAAUGGACUUGUUCGGAAUGAGCAACAAGAAGAGGCCAUCCAGAUGUUCUGGUAUAUGAUGAGGCUUGGUCUUGAGGCUGAUGAGUUCACGUUCGUCAGUGUUCUUGGUGCAUGUGCCCACUUGGAUUCACAUUGCUUGGGAAGGCAGGUGAAGUGUGUGACAAUCAAGAAUUGCAUUAAUGCAAGCUUGCUUGUUGCUAAUGCAACAUUAGAUAUGUAUUCCAAGUUUGGAGCUAUAGUUGAUGCAAAGACAACAUUCAGUCUGAUUCCUUACAAAGAUAGUGUAUCUUGGAAUGCCCUUAUAGUUGGACUUGCACAUAAUGGAGAAGAGGAAGAAGCAAUCGGUAUGCUCGGAUUGAUGAAUGCCGAUGGUAUAACACCAGAUGAGGUGUCUUUUGCUACUGUAGUUAAUGCAUGUUCCAAUAUUCGAGCUACUGAGACUGGAAAGCAAAUCCACUGCCUAGCAAUGAAGUAUAGUAUCUGCUCAAAUCAUGCUGUUGGUAGCUCUCUUAUUGAUUUAUAUUCAAAGCAUGGAGAUGUGGAAUCUUGUAGGAAGGUUUUGGCACAGGUAGAUGCAACUAGUAUAGUCCCAGUAAAUGCUCUGAUUGCAGGCCUUGUGCAGAACAAUAGAGAAGAUGAAGCUAUACAGUUGUUUCAGCAGGUUCUUAGAGAUGGUGUAAACCCCUCCAGCUUUACAUUUUCAAGCAUUCUGUCAGGUUGUACUGGACUUCUCAGUUCGAUUGUUGGCAAACAAGCCUGUUACACACUGAAGUCUGGUCUUCUGCAUAAUGAUUCUUCGCUUGGUGUUUCACUGAUCCGGAUAUAUUUGAAGUCGAAAAUGCCUGAGGAUGCCGACAAACUCUUGACAGAGAUGCCAGAUCACAAAAACCUGCUUGAGUGGACAGCUAUCAUUUCAGGGUAUGCUCAAAAUGGUCACAGUUCUGAUUCAUUGCUAACAUUUUGGAGAAUGCGCAGUUAUGAUGUUCACUCAGAUGAGGCGACAUUCGCUAGUAUUCUCAAAGCUUGUUCUGAGGUGACAGCUCUUAACGAUGGAAAAGAGAUGCACGGACUCAUCAUUAAAUCUGGAUUUAGUUCUUAUGAAACUUCAAUUAGUGCCCUCAUAGACAUGUACUCCAAGUGUGGGGAUAUCACUUCAUCCUUUGAAGCCUUCAAACAAUUUUAA